CCUACGGGUGGCUGCAGUGAGGAAUUUUGCGCAAUGGGGGAAACCCUGACGCAGCAACGCCGCGUGAGUGAUGAAGGCUUUCGGGUCGUAAAGCUCUGUCGAGUGGGAAGAAAAACCAGAUACCAAUAAUAUCUGGGACUGACGGUACCACUGAAGGAAGCACCGGCUAACUCCGUGCCAGCAGCCGCGGUAAUACGGGGGGUGCAAGCGUUAUUCGGAAUCAUUGGGCGUAAAGAGCGCGUAGGCGGCCCUAUAAGUCAGAUGUGAAAGCCCGGGGCUUAACCCCGGAAGUGCAUUUGAAACUAUUGGGCUUGAGUAUGGGAGAGGGAAGUGGAAUUCCUGGUGUAGAGGUGAAAUUCGUAGAUAUCAGGAGGAACACCGGUGGCGAAGGCGACUUCCUGGACCAAUACUGACGCUGAGGCGCGAAGGCGUGGGGAGCAAACAGGAUUAGAUACCCUAGUAGUC
rnacentral:rRNA from 1 species